GCCCAGCGCUGAAUCUAUUAGCCAUUGGUUAUAUAGAAUUGUAGCGUAUAGGUGUAACUUCUUAUUAGUUUUAUUCACCCAAAGUCCCCUUGAGUGGGGCUAUUGUCCAUAGAAGGUGCUAGACCUGUACGGGUGGUGAAGCUAAUAACGUUGGUUAUACCUUGGAGUCGGGUUGCCUGAGAUCGCAGCCCAAAGAGGGUGGUAAACCUCAUCUAAGGCUAAAUAUUGCCACGAGACCGAUAGCAAACAAGUACCGUGAGGGAAAGUUGCAAAGAACUUUGAAGAGAGAGUUCAAGAGGGCGUGAAACCGCUGAGAAGGAAGCGGAUAGAAUUAACGGAAACAUAAUAGCAUUCAGCUAAUUUAUGUUGCGGUAUUUAUAUUUUUAUGCCUCGAUGAGGGUAAAAUAUAAAUUUUAGCUGUAUACAUAUAAUUAGUGUAUUUGCUGUUAGUAUGCGCUGAAAGGUUUGCAAUGAUAUGUUAGAUACGUUAUAAAGAGGCCUGUGCUCAAACUGGGUGCAGAAACUUUUAUAUUGUUAUAUAGCAUAUUCAUUGUAAAUUUUGCUAUGUAUUAUCUCGCUAGUUAUGUGCAACGAUUUUUGCGUGUUUUAUAUUACUAUUGAAUAAGUCGCAUGCGAUUUAUUUAUAGUUUAAAAUAUGAAUCCGUUUUAAAAAUGCUGUUGCGUAAGAUAAUACAAUUUCAGUGUUCCAAGUUAAUCACCUAUCCGACCCGUCUUGAAACACKGACCAAGGAGUCUAGCAUAUACGCGAGUCAUUGGGUGUUUAAAACCUAAAGGCGUAAUGAAAGUAAAUGUUAAUUUUGAUUAACUGAUAUGGGAUCCGUUAAAUUGUAUGUUAAUAGCAUAUAACGGCGGCGCACCAUAGUCCCGUCUUUGUUGCUUGCAAUAGGGCGGAGAUAGAGCGUAUACGCUGGGACCCGAAAGAUGGUGAACUAUGCCUGAGCAGGAUGAAGCCAGAGGAAACUCUGGUGGAAGUCCGAAGCGGUUCUGACGUGCAAAUCGAUCGUCUG
rnacentral:rRNA from 1 species